rnacentral:misc_RNA from 1 species
AUCAACAACCUCUUCAUAAAUACAUAAAUCAUAUAAGAGAAAAUGGUGACAUGAAGAAUGAGAACUUGUGUGG